rnacentral:lncRNA from 1 species
AGAAACCUCAGCCAAUCUGAGAAUGGUUUUGGUGCUUGAAGCCUCCAUUGUGAAUAAUCCAAUAGUGGUGAAGAAACUUCUCCACAGCCUGAGGACAAGAAGAUGGUGUGCGAGCUAGAACUAUACGUGGCGCCACUUCGGAUCUUCCACACGUUCAUUUAGGUCAUUAUUAUUGAUGUGGGGAAAAAAUACACCUAUUAAUGUUCAAAACGACCUCGCCCCAAGGGAGGUUGGAAAUCGGUACCAAUCUUCCCAUGAAGUCCCAAAAACGUCAUCUCCGGAACCCCUUGACCGAGGGUAAAAAAGAGUCCAACGCUUUAGACAUUGGACCCGCCAGUGCUGUGCACGAGUCGCAUAGCCACCAUCAAAAGAUCAUCAGUUGGGGAGAGUUAUCGUUAAAAUACUGACUCGUCCUCGACUUGGUGGACAGAACAGUACUUGGAAUCUCCAUCUCUACCCACCAGAAUCCUUAUUAUACAUGGAACAUCCCUUGCGAGGGAUUUCUCCUCAACGGCACCGACAAUUACGGAUAUCUCCAUAUGGGCAAUCUUCCCAAAUAUUUCUCCCCUAUCUCCGAGAUACCUUCCAUAUAAAAUCCUUCCGAGGAUCAGCGUUAUCCAUGGGCACGACAUUACUGUUUAUAAAAAAGGCGCUCCCAAUAAACAAAGUACGCUCUUACAAGCAAAAACACCACACUUUUCUCGAGCUCUUUAUUGUGAUCACCUUGUUAUAAGUCCAGGGGGGUUUGAGCGGUCUCGCCCGAGCCGUUUACUUGUUCGUCUGUUGCAGGCGCCCUUCAAAAUAUCCGGGUCAGUGCGAGGAGAACGAGCAAUAUGAUGUGGUUGCUCGCCCCCCCAAUUUUUUACCACAACAGUUUUGGCGCCGUCUUGGGAAACGACAGUUCCUAUGCACCUGCGCCAGCCGCAUAUACCCAGACCAAGUGCCAGUAAGAGUAGUAGCCCCCGGGAGGAACAGAUCCCAUUUCUAUGCCAACCCAGCCCAAGCUCCACAUCUAGAAGGUCUCCACCGUGAGAUACAAGAUAUGGCUGAGCAGAGAGGAUAAGGAACGAGAAUAAUGGUCGCCUAAUGCAAUCUCGCUGCUGCCAAACCCCCAUCCAGUGCUGCACCACUCCUCCUGUGAUGUCAGAGCGAUCUCGCCACAGAAUCGUUCUAGAAAUCGUUCCAGAAACAUCAGUGCCGAUAAGAGGGGGGGGAGCCGCCAAGCACCAGCAAGCUCCUUCCUGCAUGAAAAGGAGUUCCUCCGAAUAUAGGUAAAACUCCAACAGAUCGAGAAGGGAGAGGAGCCCCAGCAGAGGUGACAGUUAGGGCACGACAUAAAUCCACAUCAAAGAAGAUUGAGAUUUGGACGCCCGGCUCGACGCCAUCAACACUGGACAGGCGCCCCAGUAAACUGUCGACACAUGAUUAAACAGACAGAACCGCCGUUCAACAGGGAGGAUACGGUUCUUGAGGGCUCGGAUUUCAUCAAAGUCAAGCUCCAGCCCAGAUCGGUCUGUAGAAGAAAAACGAUCGAGGACCACCUAGACUCGUACAAGAGUAUGAGUGUCGCUCCAAGGUGCCUCGGACGAGGUUAUGUCAAAAGCGUUCUCCGCCACUUUGAGGACCCGCCGUCAUGUGUUUCGGAAAAACUGUCGCCCAGGGGGACAUUGAUUCCUUGGGCGAUCCCCCCUAAGUCGACUUAUUCGUCGACACGUUCAUGAGCUGCAAAAACAAAAAAACGCCAAACGACUGCUUCUCUCUUGUCAACAUUCAUCAAAAAGAGACUGAGAGCUGAAAGACUUGUGAACGAUUCAAUCAGGCCAUUUUGGAAAGUCGAAGAUCCCAGCAGAAACAAAGUAAUAAUUAUGGGAUGAUGGAAGGACUCGACCUGGCCCGCUGUUCGAAUCCCUCUCCAAAAAACGUUCCUGAAAGUUAUUGCACUCCAGAGGUAAUAAGCGAUAAGAUAUCGCCGCAGAGGAUGUUGGGCCGAGGCCAAACGAAGCGGACGAGGGAAGGAUGAUCAAAAGAGAAGGAAAUUGACACGAGGCAAACCGAUUUUAGGGAAGAACCGGAGGUACAAGAGGGACCUGACCGAGAUUCCAAACGAUUCCAAUGAUAGACGUCCUCGCCCACUUCCUCGCCGACCUGAGUUGAGUUUACUUACCACCACUCCAAGCCCAUGUUGCCCAAGACUUCGGAAAUUAAGCACGAAGAGUUCGUCAAAUGGCCCAGAGAAGAAGAUUCAAAACUGACCCCAGAAGAGGAACAUGAACAAAUAUGGAAUUUCACGGGACCACGGACACAAUAAUGAGGACUGCUUCAACUAAAGAAAACAAAUCGCCGACCUCAAUUAAGAGGGGUUACCUAAGGAAGUAUGUUAGCCCGCUCGCCCACCACUCAACUCCCCAGAGAGAAAGAUACGGCGAUUAACCAACCAACUGCGGGGAUAUACAAAAUCCAUGGAGGGUUUCGAUCGGCGGGUAUUCGACUUCAUCCAGGAAAAAGCAUGCCAGAAGGCCAAGACCGACGAGGAAGAAGUUUAAACCUCUCUCAUUGUUGCUGACCCAACAACCAUCACCUUCAACAAUGAUGAUUUAAGAGCUUACCAUCUACCCCACGACGAGCCUUGGUCGUCUCGGCCGUCAUUGCCAAUUUCACAUCCAGAGAAUUUUAAUCGACAAUGGGAGGAAGUUCGGCAGAUACUUGUCUUCGCACAUUCGAGGAGAAUAAAAAAAGUGGGCUGGACAGCUUCACCAUUUUAAUUUACCCCCCGAUCGGAUUUGGAGAGGGAAUACGAUGCACCCCUUGGGAUGGAUCAACUGCCAAUAACCCUGGGAGGCGAACAACACCAGACCACCGUUUAUGUGUGGCAGGAUGUUAUUGUGGUAGAAUGCCUCGCCCUUUAAUGCCAUCCUGGGCGACCAACUUUAGGAGGAAAUCAGGCGAUCACUCGGAAUAUCACUGAGCAAAGUUUCCCACCCCAAAGGGAUGGCGAGAAAAAAGGCGAUCAGCGAAAGUUGGGCCAGGCAAGCUUCAUUCGGCCAUGAGGGUCGAAACCUCUUCAGUUCCGCCCACCCAAUAGCAAUUACAGAACAUCGUACGAAACAGAGGCAACUUGAGAUGAAAAUGGAAACACUCCCUGGCAGACCCAGGGAAACCAAUAACACCAAGCCUCUGAAGAGAUCGUCCCAUAUCCCAUACAUCAGAUUAUCCUAUCGCCAUAUAUUGAUGGUUUCUACGAACUUACCAUGAGCGGUGUUUAACCUGAAAAACUUCGUGAAAGAAAAACCUCCAACGUAUUGCCUGGUAGCACAAAGAGAAGUCACUGGCAUAAGAUCCGAGGAUCGCCAGCACAAAUUGCUCACCGACCCGAAAAACAUUCUCCAGUUGCCAAAGCGGAAGGAAAGUCGACCUGAACGCUAAAAGCAUUGAAGAUGAAGUGAAUAAACCUCAUCAGGGCUAAGCGCCGAGAGGCCCUAUCGAAUUGGCUGCCAAUGUCGUAGUGCCCCAAAAAGGGGGGAAAGUGGAGGGGUGUGUAGAUUUCACGACCUUAACAAGGGCUGGCCCAAAGGACCGUUUCCUUUGUUUACCCAAAAUAGCCUUAUAGUCGACGCCACCUACAAAGCACGAGCCCUAAGUUUAUGGACGCCUUCUCGGGAUUAUCACCAGAUCAAGAUGUACCCUAUGACAUUGAAAAGACCUCUUUAUCACCGAACGGGGGUUGUGUUUUAUAUUGUACAAAGUAAUGCCAUUCGGAUUGAGAACGAUUUUGGGGGAGACGUAAAGAGUUAGUCAAAAUGAUGUUCAAGGAAAUAUAAUUGGGGCGCCAUGGAAGUAGUAAUAUAGAUGAUAGCUGGAAAAGCCUACGAUUCAUCCGACCACAUCGCCCACUUGAAGAAGCAUUCCGCAUACUGCGUCGCCAUCGGUAUGGAUGGUUAAAUCCAUCAAAUGAUCUUUGAGUGUGUCCGGAAAAUCUUAGGAUUCUGAUUUGUCACUAACGUGAAAUCGAGGUAAAUCCGAGCAGAUCACAGCCUUAAUCACGAUGAGUUCGCCCAGAGUAUCCGAAAAGUACAGCAGCUGACUGGGCGAGUAAACCGCCCUCAACAGAUUUGUCUCAAAGUCUGCGGGACAAAUGCAUCCCCUUCUUCAAAAUCCUAGAAAAAGCCAGGGCUUAAAUGGAAUGAGGAAUAUGAAAAUGCGUUCCAACAGUGAAAGAGUACCUCGGGCGCCCCACCUACUCACAGUACCCGCCACCGGCGAGGACCUUUACGUAUAUGCCAUCUCGCCACACGCGGUGAGUUGCCGUGCUCAUCCGAGCAGAAGAUCAGGUCAAAGGCCAAUUACUACGUUUCUUUUUAUAAAGUCGUAUGGGACAGAGAGAGAGCCAGAUAUCCAAAGAUCGAAAAACUCGUACGCCCUAAUGAUCGUUGCCAGGAAAACCGUCAUACUUUCAAAACCAUUCCCAUUAUAGUGCUGACGGAUCAGCCAUUGAAGAAUUCUUCAGGCGACCAGAUGCGUCAGGUCGGACUCCUCAAUGGUCCGUAAGCUAAGUGAAUUCCAAUUGAGCAAGCCAAUGACGGCAAUAAAAGGCUCAAGGCCUGGCCCUGGCUGAUUUCAUUGUCGGAAUCCACUCAGGGAGGGACACUCCACAACCUGAAACAGCCCCUCUUGAAGCGAGAAUUCCUAAAGAACCAAACCAGCAAAAAAAGCCCGCCCAAUGGAUAUUGUUCGUUGCUGGCUCGCCGAAAUCAGCCGGGGCUGCGGGGCAGGGCUCAUUUCAUCCGACGGCCUCCGUCAGGCGAACAAAAUGGAAUACGCCAUAAGAAUAGGGUUUAAAGCCACUAACAAUGAAGCCGAAACGAAGCCUCUCGCGGAUUAAGGGUAGCAUACGAGUUGGAGCAUAAUCUUUGAAAGUUUAGUUUUUAGUGCUCGCAGCUGGUGGUAAACCAAGUCCAAGGAGACUACCUCGCAAGGACGCAAGAAUGAUAGCCUAUUUAGGCGAAGUAAAGGCUGGAUCCGCCAAGUCAAGGGUUCAAGAUUCAUCAGAUCCCGAGAAAGAAGAUAAUUAAAAAGGCGAGACGCCUGGCAAUUUGGGUAACUUUUGAGUUUAUUCUGACAGGUGCAUACCUCUGGAAUUUUUAACCAAAACUAACAUUUGGAGUCGCCAACCAAGUCUCCAAACGAAAAAAUCCGACGUGGUAUGGACGAGAGUAUGACUAUUCCAAAGAGGGAUCAGGCCAGAAGUUAAGCAGCCAAUGCUCGCCGCGCAAUACAGAUCCGCGAGGUCUGCAUUGUUAAUGGCGUCGAUGUACAGAGGUCUUUUUAGGACAACCUGAAAGGUCUCCGACCAAAAGAGGGGCAGAGUACGUUCUAGAGGAAAUCACGAGGCAUAUGCGGUAACCAUCCGGCGCAAGGUCACUGGACGAAGAAGAACGAAAAGAAAAGAAAAAAGAGAAAAGAAAACAUUCGCAAGGAUAUUUUUGGCCGACAUUAGAAACGAGAUGCGACAGCAUAUAUCACGAGACGACAAAUGCCAGAGUUUGCCCGUUAGCCGUUUCCCUCACACGAGAUGGUACCGAUGUCCAGCCCUUGGCAUUGGCCCAGUGGGGGAUAUGACAGUCUGUGUCCAUACCGCAGCUCCUUUGCAAAAAGAAGUAGGUUUUUAAUGUCCGCCCAUAGAUUCUUCCAAUAAAUGGAUAGAACUCAGCCCCUCGCCAAGAUUACUGAGGAAAUACCGGGGCUUCAUAUGGAAGACAUUUUUUUGCAGAUUCGGAGUCCCAAAGGUUAUCAUCUCGGACAACGCAAGACACGGACAGUCGGACAACGACACGGUUCAGACUAUUAUGUUCGGCUUCUCGCCAUCUCCCAUCAUUCUCCUCGCCGCUCGGUUCAUCCUCAAGCUAAUGGGCAGGUGGAAUUUUUGGGGUGAAUAACCAAUCGUUACCAUCUCAGGAAUGAAAGGGUGGAUGGACGAUCAAACAGCGCGUGGGCAGAAAACCGAAAACCCUACAAGCAUACUUUGGGCUUAUCAUAAUAUAGACGGAUGCCUACGGGUGUGGUGAAAAUCCGUUUCCCCUGGUCUUGGAACCAAAUCAGUUCCUACCGGUGGAAAUAGGUAUGACGAGCUUCGGGUUUCGAAAUUUCGAAAGAGAAAAGAAAAGAAUUAUGAGGCGAGCUCAGAGGUCAACCUGGAACAUCCUUGAAGGAAAAGAUGAGCGAGAGCGCCGAGCUACGUCAAACGGCCUACAAAUGCAAGGCACCAAGAUCACUCACAAUCAAGAGUUAGGUUAGAACACCGGUCAUGCCUUCCGGGCGAUCUGGUCUGCGGGAAGUAACCCUGUCAACUAAAGAAACCAAAUAAGGGAAGCUCGGCCCACUGGAAGGUCUUACAAGGUCACAAGUCUCCCGGACCGAGGGGACUUAUUGGUAGAGACCCAGCGGAAAAGCACUUCACAUCCUGGAAUGCGAGCAUUUGAAAAAGUCCUAUAAGUGAAGGUCAUGAGGAACCCAUUCGCCAUUCCGCCCUGAUAAGUUUAUUAUAGGAAUGUUACGAUGAGCUAUGUUAGAUCAUCGGUUAUACGAAAGCUGAUAUCGCCAUGUAUGUCCUGGAUAGAUGCGCCGUUCUAUGUAGCCAUUAUUAUGAUCCCUAUAUCGAUGAUCGCCCAUUUGAGGGUCCUAGAGUUAAAGACAACUUGGACAUCGCCAAUCCAAAACAAAAUAAGAUCGCCCGCUAUCGGAAAUCGCCAAUAUUAGUUCAUGGUCGCCAUUAACACUCAAACGAAAGACACGGGAACAAAGAGUUUUCAAAGGGAUAUAGUUUUCAUCAUAUUAUUGGACAAAAAUUAAAUUUAAAAAAAAACAAAAAAAUUAAAAAGUUUUAAAAUUGGGAAGCAACUCUGCACAGGAUCUUUCUCCUUUCUUUAAUCGCCUCUAUCCUCGGGCAAAACUUGGGCCAUGCCUAGUAGCACGUCAACGCGAGGUUGGGGAUUGAUGGAGGAGAGCUCUUGCAAAACUCCAAAGCCUCGCUGAAUGAUGAGGAAGUCGCAGCAGAAUUGUAACCGCUUGCCUUGAUUCUCCCGAGGUUUGAAGUCUCAAUAGCUAGCUCUUGGCCUCGCCAUUUAUUUGUAGUUCCGCCACAGUGGCCUUCAGAUGCAUCCACAUCUGUUGCAUGGUUGAUUCUUCCUCGCUAAGCACGGCCCAGCUUAUAUUUCCGCGUACGGGCCGAUUUUGACUUUUAUCAAUUCCAGUCGGCGGGAAUCUGCGCUAGCCAUUGGGAAGUUAAGUCGGGGCGAUCUCCGGCUUGUGAGGCUAGAGAAGAGGCGAACACGACCACCUGCCAAAUAACACCUCUCAGUAUUCGCCAAAAAAAAAAAAACACCAAGCUUUUCACGAGUACCUGCCCAAGGCAUGGAAAGAUUUGGCGACCAAUUCAUUAUCGGAUAAUUGGUCAACACAUCUUGUCGGAAGCCGGAAUCACCCCAGUGAGCAGCCUCGAGCCACUGAAGCAUCGACAUAGACUCGGAUCCUAUGUCGCCACAAGGGGAGAAGAGCCAGCUCAGCAGGCACGCCCUAGCAUUGAUCGCCCCCGGUUAGAUUUGAAUUUUCUCGUCGGCGGGGGGUGGCCGGGGGGGGCCGGGCAUGCUUAUUUUCCCCUUGAACGAUGCCAGCUCGCCUAUUUCGAUUAAAAGGGAGCCUUCCCGCGUACGGUCUCACGGAAGCACUCCUUUGGUGGGAGGCUUGGCUGUCUUCUCCUUCGUAGCCAUUCUCGGCCUUGGCAUUGCACCGCGGUUUUUUGGCCACCGGGGGGGCACCAGCUCGGCGACAUAGCUGCAAAGAGAUUGAGAGAGUCAGAUAAGAAGGAAAGAAGAAAAUAGUAAACAAUUGGUUUCUAGUAUACCAUCAGAUUUGAGUGGGGGGCAGCUCGGAAUUCGCAAUGGAACGGACCUGAAUCGAAUUGGAGCCGGACGUCCCAGAUAGGAGAUUCGUAAACGGUGGUCAUACCUUCCCCCGAGCCACAUAGAAGGGUUCAUCAGGGAUACCAGGAGGGAUCUCCGAAAAGCCUCGCGAUAUUUCCCGUCUGAUGACUCACAGGUAAUUCAACGAGUCUUCGCGAGAACGAACUCAACCCUCGUCACCUGAGGUCGGUUGUCUCCGCCAUGGUAGAGAGAGCGCCGUGCAACCAGCACAAAGUGUUUCUGGAAGUCCGCGAACCCCGAAGUACCUUCGACACCUCGAUAAGUAACCUACGAGAUCUAUGCUUCCCGAGGAAGUUCCGUCUCUGACGUUCAACCUCGGAAGAAGUUGGCAACUUGUUGCAGCUUUCCUGAAAAUUGCAGUUAGACGACGAUAGUGACUCGCGAACAACAAACAACAUAGGAAUAACUGGUGUCCCCAAGAUCUGGGAACUGUAUGUAUAUCGCUGGCGGCCGUGCGCGACGGGAACUCCCACUCAUCCCCGAGCGCACAAAAAGAACCCGUCGUCCACCCCUUUACAUGCUCGGAGAUCUCGGAGCAAGUUCUCUCAGGCUCGCUGAAGUUAAUACCACCCCGAAUUGGGUAAGGGGAAGGAGUAUAAGCACCUGAAUUCGCACAGGAAUGUGACAUUUGAAGAGGACGCCAGAUCACCACGAGCAGACGAAAUCUCCAUGCGUUGGGGACAAUUGUGCGGGCAAUUUGUAAUGAAUCAAGUUUCCCUAAUGGUAGGAAUGGAAGGGAAGCACUUAAAGCCGGCCAGGGAAAAGCGGCUUUCGGGUAAAAUAAAAUGCCCACUCGCACUUGGCGAGAUGAUAAAAUUAUCUUGCCUUCCCAGGAAUCCGAAGGCGUUCCUGAGGGGAAUGGAAUAGGUGGUCGAGCUUGUCCAGUCGGUUGGGGCACAUGACAUUACCCUCCUUGGUUAAGACUCGAGGUAUCCAUCUUUGGGGAGUGGUUGGAGUUUCGUGUGGAGACGACGGGAAUGGCUGUGUCAUCGAUAUAAGACUUUGCACCUAGAUGAUGUGAUAUCCAAGAAGGCAGGGAAGGGAGUGCUCAGAUUUCGCCCCGAGGUUGGUUGGUCUUGGAGAAAUACACGGGACGCCAACUGUUUAUGGCGGAUGCAAUUUUAAAAACGGAAGCAAGCGAAGCAGCAGCACUUCGGACAGCAACGGAAAUGUGCGAAUGAACAGGUUUUAACCCCAUUCAUUUAGAUACACAUAGGGGAGGGCUGUGUGACGAUCGGGCCAACAGCCCAGAGAACCGACGUUUCCGAUUUCGAGAAUGAAAACCGCAUUCCCGCAUUUUUCAUUUUUAAAACUUUUCCGCCGAGUCAACUAUCGGCUUUCUAGUUACCAAUCAACGUAGCUCCUGGAUGUGAGUCAGUAGACGCUUCCACAUGUUCUUUUCGGUAUACAGUUAUUUGCAAAAAAAGUCAGCAUUGUCCAUGUUUUGAGAACAGCCUUGAUUCUGUGCUUGUGAUUCAUCUAUGAUUGGAUGACUAGUCGGCCCCUAUAGCUCGCCCAAAACUUUUCUAACGAAUACAAGUCAAACCAUGCCGCACAAAAUUAGAUCACCUAGGAAAAGAUCUAUGAAUCGCCAGUCGUUUUGCAAACGGCUGAGGAUCCUUGAUCACCAUCACAGACGUCGCAUGAUAAGAACGCCCAUUUCAUUACCAAGGAAUAUUCUCGCCAGUCGAACGAUCUUUCCGUAUAUAUUGUCGCCCAGGAGCUUAUAUUCAUAGGAAGUGGAAAGUUUGGACAACCCGUUUCACCAUGAACAUUACAAGUAAGAUGAACAAUCAACGCCGAGUAAUCAAGUACCAAAAAGAAAAACGACAAGAGUUUGACAAGCGAAUAAGCUUUAUUUCUCAUCGAAGAUCACGGGUACAAAAAAAUAAAAUAUAAAAUAAAAAAAAUACAAAAGGGGGUCAGACAGCAGCUCGCAAACCCUAGCCCCGGCUGUGGAUUGCCCCUUCUUCGGAGUUCUUUGCUCGGUUCGGCCCAAUCUUAGCGAGGAAAGGAAUUCUUGGUCCAUCUCAACGUCCUCAAGUCGACGCCGGAGAUCGGGAUACCGGGAGCGAGUGGCAUAUUGCAGAAGUCCACGCCAUCGCCGAAGAGUAGAGUAGAAGAUUGCUGAUCCCCCACGGCUUUUAAAAAGAUCGCUCUUGAAAGGGAGAUGAUCAUACCUGUGGAGACAGACUGGACCCUUCCAGCCGGGAGAGAUCCUCGCCCUCUAACUCGCGAUGAACUUGUAUCUGAUCAGCAUCCACGGUCGCGAUCUUCCCUUCGCCUUCUCUUAGCAAGGGCACCCCCUAAUUAAUGGCCCGUAUGAGCUCGAACAUUCCAUCUCGAGAUUCAGCGAUAGGCCUUUUGAAUGAGGGCGCCCCGGGAGAAAGAGUAUAGUCUCUGCAGCGUUACGGCGAGGAGACGACCCUAAGAUAAACCCCUGUGCUACAAACAGAAGCAAAUUACCGCAUCUGAAUAUGAUGAAACGUAUUGAGGGAAAGAAAAAUACCUGGCCGAGCACAUGGAAAAAACUUGGUCACCACCUGAUCGAGGGAGCUAUCCACCUUUCCUCCUCGUCCGCUAGAUGUAUACCCCGGCCAGAAUCUUUUAGGUGGCCGCAUGGCCAUCACUGAAAAGCAGGGGCUGCAAGGCUUAACCAAGAGUUCGACUGACCAAAUUGCCCUCUCAUGAAGCACAAGGGCGGCCUCGCGGGGAGCCAAGGAUGAUACGGUGUCAAUUUUAGCCUUUUUGACUCCGGCAAUUGGUGCGACAUGCUUUCCCAGGACCAUCGGUCCGAAAGGCCUUUUACCGGAAGUAGUCUCGGAUCCUUCCGAGAUAACAACACCCUUCGAAGCAGAAGUGGAGGCCUUUUGAGCCACACCUUGGCAUAGCGAUGUACUGAGACUUGAGUCUCUUGAAUAGCCGAUCACUAAUUUAUGAGGGCGGCUAGAAAGGUGAUGAUGAGACGUCGGAGCAGAGAGGUCCAAGAGUACAAUAGUUGAGGUCGAAAAGUACGACGGACAGGGAUCCCCCUUAUAUAGAGAUAAUUCAACGAUACAGAUAUCCUCAUUACAACGAAUGGGAUGUGGGGACGCUUCGAACAGAGUUCGCCAUUAAGACCUCCUUGCCACGUGGGCUACGCGAGUCGAGUAGUUGCCACAUCAUUAAGGCAUCGUCAGCAGAAGAGAAGAAAAACAACGUACUCGAAAAGUCCCAACUAUUCAUCUCGGUCAUACGGUAGGGGGGGACGGGUGGGGAAGAAAGAAAAGGAAAAAUACAACUAUAAUGGUUCAAAGUACCUCGCCCCAAGGGAGGGUUGGACAUCGGUUACCACCUUCCCAUGAAAGUCCCAAACGUCAUCUCCGAACCCCUUGACCGAGGUAAAGAGUCCAACGUCCGACAUGGGACCUCGCCAGGUGAUGUUCACUGGAGCUAGCCUAGCCCCCAUCAUAACGCUCAUCAGUGGUCCGACUUAAACAUACUGCCUCGUCCUCGUCAUUGGACGAGACAGAAGUACUGGAAUCUCCAUCUAUACGCCAACAGAAUCCUAUAUAUACAUGGAAAAAAGAUCCCGGCGAGAAUGUUCUCCUCCCCGGCACCGACAAUGCGGGCUACUCUCAUACGGCAAUCUUCCCAAAUAUAUCCUCGCUCUCCGAAGAUCCUUCCAUAUAAAUCAUUCAGAGGAUAUUGACGUGAUCAUGGGCACGACAUUUACUCAGUCUAUAAAAAGGCCUCUCCCCAUAACAAAGUUACGCUCUACAAGCCAAACAAACCACACUUUUCUCCAGAGCUAUCUUAUCUGUGAUACAUUGGUCUGACCCACGCCGGAGGGUGGUUUUGGGGGUUGUGAGCGGUUCUCGCCCCGGCCGUUUAUUUGUUGUCUGUGAGGUCGCCCUCAAAUACGAGGUUCCAGGCCAGGGAGACCCAGCAGAAAAAGCCAAUUGCUGUUGGUUGCUCGCCCCAAUUUUUACACAAAACAAUUAAUUAUUAUUAUUUAUUACACUGGCUUAUCUCGUUAAAGUUCUUGUUUUCUGCAAGUGGUGGUGUUGGGUUCCUCUUUAGAUGAUCGAGCUAGGGAGAUGAGGGAAGAGGCAAUGAUCCAACAAGUCAACGUUUCUUCCAUCCAAGAUAAGAUGACCCGAGCUCAGCAGAUGACCAAAAACUUGGAGAGUAGGGUGGCUGAGCUUGAGGCUAAAAAGCAACUUUCAGAUGAUGCCGUGUCUGUUAUGGAGAAGAAGCUAGCUGAGCUAAAGAAGUACAAGGAGGAGUCUGUCAUUGCCACAUAGAAGCUCGAUAAGGAGAUGACCGAGCUUAGGAGGAGAGAGAUACCGAAAAGUUAGUUGUUGACGAAUUCAAAGCCUCUGAGGAAUACACGGAGGCUGUAGAGGGAGCGACUUCUUCAUAUUUUAGCGAGGGUUUUGAUUAGUGCAAGAAGCAGAUCAAUCUCCUCUUUCUCGACCUUUACAUCAAUGACGAAGAUGAAGAUGAGGAGGAAGGGAAAGAUGUACAGUCUUAGCCAUCUCAUUUAUGUAUAUUUUCCUUGUAAUGGCGACAUUAAUAUUUUAAUGAAA